rnacentral:rRNA from 1 species
UACGUAGGGUGCAAGCGUUGUCCGGAAUUAUUGGGCGUAAAGAGCUCGUAGGCGGUUCGUCGCGUCGGCUGUGAAAACCUGAGGCUCAACCUCAGGCCUGCAGUCGAUACGGGCGGACUUGAGUACUGCAGGGGAGACUGGAAUUCCUGGUGUAGCGGUGAAAUGCGCAGAUAUCAGGAGGACACCGGUGGCGAAGGCGGGAUCUCUGGGCAGUAACUGACGCUGAGGAGCGAAAGCGUGGGGAGCGAACAGG